CCACCUUCACCGACAAUAGAAAAUCACCAGCUCUUAGGAGAGUUGUUCCUAGUAUGAUUUAUUUUCUUCUGGAGACUACUUAGUGUUUUAAAUUGCAAGCAUUUGAAGUGCUUGAUCUUACUUUUUUGUCACUUAUGGUUCAUCACUUCAAAACUCAAAAUUGAGUUUUCACCUAGUGGGUAGAAUGAUACAGAACAAAAGGAUCUUAAUUUGGAAUUAAUUGUUAUUUAAAGAUAUUUUUUUAAUUAUUAUUAUUGUUAUUCUUUAUUAUUUAAUUUAUUUAGGUAGAUUUUAAGUUCUAGAAACUUUUGAUUUCCUCAUUAGUUUAUUUUCUUUAUUAGUUAUAUGUAAUACCUAUAUAAAGACUAGUAGGUAUCAGUAAAUUGAAUUGGUAAUGAUGAACUAAGAAUUCCUUUGUUGGGAUUAUAUCUCCU
rnacentral:lncRNA from 1 species